rnacentral:rRNA from 1 species
UACGGGGGGGGGCAAGCGUUGUUCGGAAUUACUGGGCGUAAAGGGCUCGUAGGCGGCCAACUAAGUCAGACGUGAAAUCCCUCGGCUUAACCGGGGAACUGCGUCUGAUACUGGAUGGCUUGAGGUUGGGAGAGGGAUGGCGGAAUUCCAGGUGUAGCGGUGAAAUGCGUAGAUAUCAGGAGGAACACCGGUGGCGAAGGCGGGUCUCUGGGCCGAUACUGACGCUGAGGAGCGAAAGCGUGGGGAGCGAACAGG